rnacentral:rRNA from 1 species
UACGUAGGGGGCAAGCGUUGGUCCGGAAUCAUUGGGCGUAAAGCGCACGUAGGCGGAUUGUUAAGUCAGGGGUGAAAUCCUGGAGCUCAACUCCAGAACUGCCUUUGAUACUGGCGAUCUUGAGUCCGGGAGAGGUGAGUGGAACUGCGAGUGUAGAGGUGAAAUUCGUAGAUAUUCGCAAGAACACCAGUGGCGAAGGCGGCUCACUGGCCCGGUACUGACGCUGAGGUGCGAAAGCGUGGGGAGCAAACAGGG